GGCUCAAUUUAUGUCUUUAUAUAUUGUCUAUCAAGUUGUUUACAAUUGUUUUUUGUUUUUGUAGAGGGCAACUUUUGCCAUUAUAUGUAUUCUUUUAUGGACACGUGUUAUUUUUAUUUUGCUUCACCGUUUUGUUGCCCAAUCGGCUUUUGAUUUCUGUAUACACACGCGACAUUGAUUUCAUCGAGAGUAGAUAACACUUCCAGUUGCUUCCUCACUUUACCUCAGCCGCUUCUCUUCGGUUUUGCCUCACCGUUUUGUCGACCAAUCAGGUUUCCAACUCCACCGCUUUCACUGUUUAUUCUCGAUUCUUCUUCACCGUACCCUGAUGAUUUCAUCUGCAACAGCCUCACCGUUUUGUCGACCAAUCAGGUUUCCAACUCCACCGCUUUCACUGUUUAUUCUCGAUUCUUCUUCACUGUACCCUGAUGAUUUCGUCUGCAACACACCUCCUCCGUCCUCACCGUCGGUGGCUGCUGCUUUUAUCCCUAAUUUUGGAAGUCGAUUACAAAGAUUCAAGAUGCAUCGUACUCUAUCUUUUCCACCGAAAUUGCAGAAGUGGUUGAUUGUCAUCGGUUAACUCCACCGUUGAUUCUUGGUAGUCAUUUCGUCUUUCUGCUUUGCUUCAUAUGUGAUCUUUUUUUGACUUCAUGGAUUUGACCUACUUGCCAUUACAUGUAUUCUUUUAUGGACACGUGUUAUUUUUAUUUUGCUUCACCGUUUUGUUGCCCAAUCGGAUUUUGAUUUCUGUAUACACACGCGACAUUGAUUUCAUCGAGAGUAGAUAACACUUCCAGUUGCUUCCUCACUUUACCUCAACCGCUUCUCUUCGGUUUUGCCUCACCGUUUUGUCGACCAAUCAGGUUUCCAACUCCACCGCUUUCACUGUUUAUUCUCGAUUCUUCUUCACCAUACCCUGAUGAUUUCAUCUGCAAAAGCCUCACCGUUUUGUCGACCAAUCAGGUUUCCAACUCCACCGCUUUCACUGUUUAUUCUCGAUUCUUCUUCACUGUACCCUGAUGAUUUCGUCCGCAACACACCUCCUCCGUCCUCACCGUCGGUGGCUGCUGCUUUUAUCCCUAAUUUUGGAAGUCGAUUACAAAGAUUCAAGAUGCAUCGUACUCUAUCUUCUCCACCGAAAUUGCAGAAGUGGUUGAUUGUCAUCGGUUAACUCCACCGUUGAUUCUUGGAACUGUGCCGGUGGUGGAGAUUCCCAACAACAGUAUGUAUUCCCAACAACAGUAUCAGCUCUCUCUCUCUCUCGCUCUUCUCUCAAGUGCACCGGUGGAGACGAAGCUGACGAUCGCCCCACCCCCACACUAUCGUCUAGUGAUUGGAUCGUCUCUCUUCCGCCACCAUCAGAAUCUACCACCGCCUCCAUGAUCGAAACUCCACCAAGCUUUGGUAGGAUGAGUCACCUCCAACUUCUUCAGCAUGUCGAUGUUCCUCAAAAGCAUCGAUGUUCUGGAUUUGGGUUAUCGGCGCCUCCACCGUCAUCUCACGUCUCGAUCUUCUCUCAAGUGAUCAUCAAUCACCUGACCCCCACGCCUCCACUCUUCGUCUUCUCUCUUAUGCUACCAUCAUCAGCCGUAUCUUCUUAUGCCGACCAUCAUAGCAUCAUAAUUGCUUCCUUCAUUGUCGCUGACAACGAGACGGCUCUGGGUAAAAGUGAUAGGAGUCCUUCUCCCUCUUUCAGUGGUAGUCGUCGACGACGACCUCUCCUACCACCUCCGCCAUCGUCGUCUACUCACUAUAGAAAUCGAGGCUCCACAAAAAACCCCUAAAAUCUUCUAUUUUGUUCUUCGUUUGAGGCCUAAAGUCGACUGAAACAAAUCACUUUCUCCACCUUAUGAUUACUUGUGAUUUAUUGGCUAAUGCUUCAUAUUUUUUGCGGUUGGGUAGCGAUGGAUGGAGCUCACAGACAAUAUUUAAUUGGUUCAGGGCUUCGGUGCAUGUGUAGAUGUUGUAUCAGCAGCUAUUGAGAGCUUGGAGGUAUGACUACUUUUGCUGGGUACACAUAUGAAUGAUCCAUGCACAACUGCUGGAAGAGGUUCGAAUUUGACAGUAGAUGGUGAUGUUGAAUGUGAUGCAAGUGUUAUAGAUGGUUGCUCUGGAGCAUUUGGUGCUGUUGGAGAAGUAUUAAGAUUGCAACUUUUGUUGGUCAAUGAGCAAAUCUUGGGUUAAUCAUUGUUGGGUCGAAUUCCUCCCAGGUUUUUGGCUGGUGACUGCACAUGUUUGCACAAAUUCCAAGGGCAUUAAUAUUUUUGAAACAAUUGAAAAGGCUAAUGAGGUAAUAUAUUAAAUUAUACUAGGGUUAAGUUAUUAUCACAUUUUUACUUGAUUUAAUACCGAAAUAUUUCUGUGACAACAGUUUUUCUGCUUAAGUGGCCUAUUCUAAAAUGUAAGUUUCAAACUGUUAGUGGUGAAAUAGAACAUAGUGAUGUAAUUUUUGUAUGUUACAUACUCUUUGAAGAUGACAAACAGGAAGCUGUAGGUGUCAUGAACGCUAUCAAGGAAAAAAAAACUAAAAGGGAUGGGACUCAUACAACCUCUUUAAACAUGAUGUACAACCAGUUUUGCAUUACUCUUCCUCUCUGUACAAUACAUUUUAAUAUAUUUUUUUUGUCUUUGUGGGUAUGCCGUUUGGAGGUGGGACAAAUUUGAUGCAAUUGGUCAUGAUAGGGUGGUGGAUUGGGUCGGAAACAAAGAUUAGCUUAUAAAAGCUUUGUAACAUUGAUACUGAUUUUCAGAUUGAACAUAAAUUGACAUGGGUCAGUGAAAAUCUUUCACUAUUGGAAUUCUGCUGCUAAAUGUAUGGUUGGUGUUUUUA